UUUCUUAAUCCUUAAGGAAGAGUCACGUCUCCAGCAUCUUGAAGACUUUAUAUACACCUCCUAACAACAUGUUUAGUCUUACAAAUUAUCCCCAAUUGACCACCGAUUGAAAGAGAAAGCAAAAAGGGAAAGAGAGAAGCAGAAACAAGGAGCUGAAAUUGAAUUUCUGGAUAGGUGAGCAUGGAACUAUACAGAGGGCACGGCUAGCUGUAGAGCUCUUACGGGACUCCAAAGAUCAAUGUACAUGGAUGAUGACCUGUAGGGUUAUUUUGUGGGCUAUUGUUUUGAGCUUACACUCUAUUGUGUCAUAUUUGGGGGGUCCUGUCUUGUAUAACUUUUGAAAUGGCCUAUAGAUGUGUUUAUAACCUUAGAACAUACGUGUUGGAUUAUGGUUAUAUGAUCGUUGAUUUUGAUAUAAUAUAUGAUCAUCACAGUUGAUUUGAA